CUUGUCGUGGCUGAGUGGUUAAGGCGAUGGACUAGAAAUCCAUCGCGGUCUCCCCCACGUCCGAAUCCUGCCGAUAACG
rnacentral:tRNA from 1 species